GAUGAACGCUGGCGGCGUGCCUAACACAUGCAAGUCGAGCGAUUCUCUUCGGAGAAGAGCGGCGGACGGGUGAGUAACGCGUGGGUAACCUGCCCUGUACACACGGAUCACAUACCGAAAGGUAUGCUAAUACGGGAUAACGUAAGAAAUUCGCAUGUUUUUCUUAUCAAAGCUCCGGCGGUACAGGAUGGACCCGCGUCUGAUUAGCUAGUUGGUGAGGUAAUGGCUCACCAAGGCAACGAUCAGUAGCCGACCUGAGAGGGUGAUCGGCCACAUUGGAACUGAGACACGGUCCAAACUCCUACGGGAGGCAGCAGUGGGGAAUAUUGCACAAUGGGCGAAAGCCUGAUGCAGCAACGCCGCGUGAGCGAUGAAGGCCUUCGGGUCGUAAAGCUCUGUCCUCAAGGAAGAUAAUGACGGUACUUGAGGAGGAAGCCCCGGCUAACUACGUGCCAGCAGCCGCCGUAA
rnacentral:rRNA from 1 species